UGGUUUUUGUAUCUGCCGUAUCCUCCGAUGGAACUUUGCCCUAUCGCAAGUGAGUCGCUCCAGUGCUUUUAACCACAGGGGGAACAGAGUUAUGAUGUUAGACCAACCAAGCGUGCACGGUAAUGUCUGCUCCACCAUCACAAUAUUUUGACUUCCCCUCAUCGUUCAUAUGCGCAGCGACACUGUCACUGUGCCCCUCUGGCGGGCCCAGUCAUCACAAAGCACUGCUGUGCACUGUCCCAGAGAAACCAUCGCAGUGGAACCUCGAGAGAUAAUACUCCCAAAGAACGAUGAAAUCACAUCAAAUGCCCAAAAAGCCUUCCACCUACUUGGACAAACAACAAUAUUGUUUGUCCACAUGAAUACAGAAAAAAAUGUUUUUUAUACUAUUUCAUCAUGAUUCACAAAUAAAACAACUUUUUCAGA